GACAUCUUUUAAAUAUGAAAGAUAUCAUACCUGUGCUCUAUAAAGAGCAAGGACACAGAAGCAAAACUGAUACAUGUACCAUUAUACUGCACUAUUUCGUUACCUUCACGACUUUUGGUGCACUUAAUUGAAAAAUUUCGCUAUUUCAUAAUUGAUCCAUUGCAUGGCAUUUAUGCCCUGACUAUAGCUGUACAUCCUAGUAGGUAUUUAUAUAUUUAUACAAACUAAUAUUUUGUGUGUUAUAAAUCUAGUCC
rnacentral:misc_RNA from 1 species